rnacentral:rRNA from 1 species
AUGGUGGUGUUCCCCGAACCCGGCCCGUUUUGGGUUAAGGACUGCACGACCGAGCUCGAGACGACGGCCGGCGUAUCGUCGCAGUCUCGCGCCGACGGCAGGACCACGCCCCCAGAACUGAAUGUCGUGCAGGAACCCGAAGAGCCACUGCGGCGGCUGGACUCGGCGGAUGUGCGCGAGAAGACGGCAGGAGUCCCGCACCCGGGGUUUGCGGACGCCACAUCUCCGCCACCAGCACUGAAGCUCUUGCAGGAAGCCCCGGAGGACUGGACAUCAGCAAGCCCACCCCUCGAUGAAACCAGAAUGGUUGUGGUCAUAAUCACUUUGUUACUACCACAAAACCAUGAAAUUGAGUAG